rnacentral:pre_miRNA from 1 species
ACUAGCAAGAGCGCAAGGGCACGAAUAAGGCAGGGCCACCGUCCGGUGACCCUGCCUUAUUCGUGCCGUCGGGCUGCUAGC